CGGGUGAGUAACGCGUGGGUAACCUGCCUCAUACAGGGGGAUAACAGUUAGAAAUGACUGCUAAUACCGCAUAAGCACACAGUACCGCAUGGUACAGUGUGAAAAACUCCGGUGGUAUGAGAUGGACCUGCGUCUGAUUAGCUAGUUGGCGGGGUAACGGCCCACCAAGGCAACGAUCAGUAGCCGACCUGAGAGGGUGACCGGCCACAUUGGGACUGAGACACGGCCCAA
rnacentral:rRNA from 1 species